rnacentral:rRNA from 1 species
UACGGGGGGGGGCAAGCGUUGUUCGGAAUUACUGGGCGUAAAGAGCUCGUAGGUGGUUUGUCGCGUUGUUCGUGAAAACUCACAGCUUAACUGUGGGCGUGCGGGCGAUACGGGCAGACUGGAGUACUGCAGGGGAGACUGGAAGUUCCUGGUGUAGCGGUGGAAUGCGCAGAUAUCAGGAGGAACACCGGUGGCGAAGGCGGGUCUCUGGGCAGUAACUGACGCUGAGGAGCGAAAGCGUGGGGAGCGAACAGG